rnacentral:lncRNA from 1 species
GGGGGAGAGUAGAGGAAAGACAGGAGAUGGUUGUUGGCAAGGGCAGGGCGACCGUCCGGCCGAGGCCCGACGUGCUGGGCUGGGGGGUGGGCGGUGCCCACUUGAAGUUCAAGGUCAUAAACUUAACUGGAGCCAAUCCAAAUCCACUGCCCAAGCAAAAGCGUAUCUAAGAAAAAGAAAAAUAACUCGAAGCCUCCAAGACACAUAAAAUCCAGAAUGGACUGACAACGGUGAAGAAGGGUAGAGCUUUUCAGAAAGAUGACCCUCGAUUCAGGGCUUAGCCAUUCUUGUACAUGGAGCCAAGUUCAUUUUACCCGCAACUGACUUACAAGUGUCUCAUAACUCUGGACUCGUAACGGACACCACAAAAGCCCGUUCAAUGUCCAGUUGCUGGGAUGAGCCUAGUGGACAAAACGUCAAGCCAAUGGCAUGAGGACUGUGGUUUCAAUCAAGACCUGUCCCCCCAGAGCAGGGCUGCCCCAGCCCAUCCAUCUGGCAUCUCCGAGUCUCGGCAUCUUCUCUGAAAAUGAGAAUCAGAAGGUGUGUGAGCAAAGUUUGUUGUGUUAAUCGAAAAUAUGUUAAUUUUCUGCAUUUCAAUAACUUCAAGCUUAGCCUGAGAACCUUCCAAGCUGUAGAAAACCUCCUUGACUAAGAGUCCACCUGCACAAGGACCUCCGCCUUCUGAACACAAACGAGCUGGAAUAGACCAUAAAGAAGGAGGGGGACCCUGGGGCCAGGAAGCUGGUCCUUCACAAGCAGGUCAGUGGUGGGGAUGCAGCUGGGGGCACAUGACACGAUGACAUUUCAUCUGGGUCUGAAAUACUCAGGCCCAGGCCCCUGAGAGUCCUGCAAACAGCGAAUCAGAAGGACCGCAGAGACUGAACAGGUGGUCCCUGAGCAGGUGGCUCUUGGCUGCUUGGAUGAGGGAGGGGAGAGGAGAGAGAAGAUGCUGGGGGCCACCCCAGGGGCCCUGCGCUGGAGACAGGUCCCGGGGCCCAGACUGUCUCACCCGAGAUGCAUCUUCCAUAACCUCCUUGGCAAGUCAGUCCUGAGCAUGAGCCUAGAGAAACCCCUUCACCAGGCCUGCCGUGGAGAAGGCCCUUCAAAGCCUCCCUCAGAAGAACGAGAAGCAUCCAAUGCUCCAUCAGUGGUGCCAUUACUAAUCAAAUUUAAAAGGAUUAAUGAGGGACCUCCCGUCAUGGCGCAGCGGACACGAAUCCGACUAGGAACCGUAAGGUUGUCGGUUCGAUCCCAGGCCCCGCUCAAUGGGUUAAGGAUCCAGCGUUGCCAUGAGCUGUGGUGUAGGUCGUGGACGCGGCUUGAAUCUGGCGUUACUGUGGCUGUGCCACAAGCUGACAGCUAUAGCUCCGAUAAGACCCCGAGUCUGGGAACCUCCACAUGCUGCAAGUGUGGCCCUAAAAAGACAAAAAGACUAAAAUAAAAUAAAAAUAAAACAAAAUAAAAUAAAAAGUUUAGUGAGUAAGUACUUUCACUAUUAGUGAAGGGCAGUGGCAUUCAAGUGUGUCUUUGUCUAGAUUAGAGAAAUAAAGUAGGAAAGCCUCUUGGAGGAAAGAAUGAAAGAUCUGUGUUAUAGUGACAAUGACAGAAAUGAAAAGCAUUUUGCCAAGAUUUUGCACCUGUGACAAGCCAGGCCAAGUCACAGACUUCGAAAAGAAUGGGCUCUUUUGGACGGGCGUGUCUGCACACCGAGGUCUAACCACUGGGGCAGUUCUACCCUAUUAGGUGAAGAAGAAACCCCCUCAUCUUGUUGUGGCUUGUGCCGCCCUGCAGGGCUGGGAUUGGGCAGAGAAAGCCUGUGUUUACGUGCGACUUUAAUUUGAUUUACUGUCCCUGACAAGCCCGCCUGAACCCAGCGCUCUGUCUCAGCAGGGUCCCUGCCUCGCCUCUCCUGCUCUGCAAGAACUCGAAAGCAGGAGCUGGCAGGUGGAUGCCGAGGGGGACUUCGCCUCCCUUCAUGCUUGCCCAGGGCAAGUGGAACCAAGCCCGACUGCUUCAGAACCUUUCCUGGGCACGGGCUAAAGGCGCUUGGUGUCACGGUGUCACUGGAGGUGGCCUGAGGGGCAGACAGAUUCACCAGCGAUGGCUGCAUCUUGGGAGCUCAGCUCUGUGAAGCGGCAGUGUCAGCCCCGUGCGAGCUCCCCGCCAUCUGGGGAGGGGACACUGUGCUUGGAAAGUCAGAAGACAGGAAAGCAUCUGCGCCCUCCUCCUCCCGAGGCCCUCAGUGUCCUGCCUCCUCUCUGAGGCUGUCUGUGUUCAAACCUGCCCUGGGCCCUGUCACCGGAACAAAAGAUGGAAUUUCGCAUUUCUACCUCCUCAUUUCCUAGAAUUUCAGCUGCCUUCAUGGUUCUCCAGAAAAAAAAAAAAAAAA